AUUGAACGCUGGCGGCAUGCUUUACACAUGCAAGUCGGACGGCAGCACAGAGAAGCUUGCUUCUUGGGUGGCGAGUGGCGAACGGGUGAGUAACAUAUCGGAACGUACCGAGCAGUGGGGGAUAACUAAUCGAAAGAUUAGCUAAUACCGCAUAUCUUCUGAGGAAGAAAGCAGGGGACCAUUUGGCCUUGCGCUGUUUGAGCGGCCGAUAUCUGAUUAACUAGUUGGUGGGGUAAAGGCCUACCAAGGCGACGAUCAGUAGCGGGUCUGAGAGGAUGAUCCGCCAAACUGGGACUGAGAAACGGCCCAGACUCCUACGGGAGGCAGCAGUGGGGAAUUUUGGACAAUGGGCGCAAGCCUGAUCCAGCCAUGCCGCGUGUCUGAAGAAGGCCUUCGGGUUGUAAAGGGCUUUUGUCAGGGAAGAAAAGGGCGGGGUUAAUACCCCUGUCUGAUGACGGUACCUGAAGAAUAAGCACCGGCUAACUACGUG
rnacentral:rRNA from 1 species